rnacentral:rRNA from 1 species
UACGUAGGGUGCAAGCGUUGCCCGGAUUUAUUGGGCGUAAAGGGCGCGUAGGCGGCUCGGCACGUCCGUUGUGAAAUCGCCCGGCUCAACUGGGCGGGGUCAGCGGAUACGGUCGAGCUUGAGCAAGCUAGGGGGCAAUGGAAUUCCCGGUGUAGUGGUGAAAUGCGUAGAUAUCGAGAGGAACACCUGCGGCGAAGGCGGGUUGCUGGGCUGAUACUGACGCUGAGGCACGAAAGCGUGGGGAUCAAACGGG